AGCACUUCGGUGGCCUAAGUAGUUACAGCGUCCGCCUCGGAUGCGGAAGGUUUGUGGGUUCGAACCCCAUCCGAGUCA